GCCCUGUUAGCUCAGUCGGUAGAGCAGCUGACUCUUAAUCAGCGGGUCGUAGGUUCGAGUCCUACACAGGGUA
rnacentral:tRNA from 1 species